rnacentral:rRNA from 1 species
AAAAAUAUAAUUAUAUAUAUAUAUUAAAGUAGUAUUAGUUAAGUUCUUGAAAUUUAAAAAUUUUGGCGGUAUUUUAGUCUAUUCAGAGGAACCUGUUUUGUAAUCGAUAGUCCACGUUGUACCUUACUUAAAUUAGUUUAAGUUUAUAUAUCGUUGUUUAUUGAAUAUUUUAUAAAAAUAAUAAUUUUCAUAAUUUUUUAUAUAAAAAUAUAUCAGAUCAAGAUGUAGCUUAUAUUUAAGUUUAUAAUGGGUUACAAUAAAAUUAUUUUUGGAUAUAAAUUAUAAUUGAUUUAUUGAAAUUGGAUUUGAUAGUAAAUUUAUAUAGAUAAAUAAAUUGAUUUUAGCUCUAAAAUAUG